rnacentral:rRNA from 1 species
UACGUAGGGGGCUAGCGUUAUCCGGAAUUACUGGGCGUAAAGGGUGCGUAGGUGGUUUCUUAAGUCAGAGGUGAAAGGCUACGGCUCAACCGUAGUAAGCCUUUGAAACUGAGAAACUUGAGUGCAGGAGAGGAGAGUAGAAUUCCUAGUGUAGCGGUGAAAUGCGUAGAUAUUAGGAGGAAUACCAGUUGCGAAGGCGGCUCUCUGGACUGUAACUGACACUGAGGCACGAAAGCGUGGGGAGCAAACAGGAUUAGAUACCCGCGUAGUCCCUGA